CGUACUUCCGUCCCAAUUGGAAUGCCGUCUCAUCUUCUGUAUACUCUUGUAGUUCUGAUCACAAAAAUUGCUUGACAAAUCGAAAGUCGCAAUUAGAUCUUUUUGUGGAAGAUCUGGAGACUUGAGAAACUUACCCAUGUUUGGAGGUCAAAGCAACUUGUGUAGGCAACCAUGCCCGAGGAGAGUUUAUCAUUG